rnacentral:SRP_RNA from 1 species
GCGUCAGCCCCUCACGUGGCGCUAUCUGACUGAACUCCCCCAGGGCCGGAAGGCAGCAAGGGUAGGUCGGCUCUGGCGGGUGCGUGGGGGGCCCUUGCGUGUCC